GGAUUUCAGGUCUGCCACUCGCUGGGAGGAGGCACUGGCUCCGGAAUGGGCACCCUGCUCAUCUCCAAGAUCAGGGAGGAGUACCCAGACCGGAUGAUGAUGACAUUCUCGGUGUUCCCAUCGCCCAAGGUGUCUGAUACUGUUGUGGAGCCAUACAAUGCCACCCUCUCUGUGCACCAGCUUGUUGAGAAUGCGGAUGAGUGCAUGGUUCUUGAUAACGAGGCUCUCUACGACAUCUGCUUCCGAACGCUCAAGCUUACCACUCCCACCUUCGGUGAUCUGAACCACCUCAUCUCUGCAACCAUGAGUGGCGUUACCUGCUGUCUCCGCUUCCCCGGUCAGCUCAAUUCAGACCUCCGGAAGCUUGCUGUGAACCUGAUCCCGUUCCCAAGGCUGCACUUCUUCAUGGUUGGAUUUGCCCCGCUAACCUCGCGGGGUUCACAGAUGUACCGUGCACUCACUGUGCCUGAGCUCACCCAGCAGAUGUGGGACUCAAAGAACAUGAUGUGCGCCGCUGACCCAAGGCACGGCCGCUACCUCACCGCCUCAGCCAUGUUCCGUGGGAAGAUGAGCACCAAGGAGGUUGACGAGCAGAUGCUGAACGUGCAGAACAAGAACUCGUCCUACUUCGUUGAGUGGAUCCCCAACAACGUCAAGUCGAGCGUCUGCGACAUCCCGCCCACUGGCCUGAAGAUGUCAUCCACCUUUGUUGGCAACUCGACGUCGAUCCAGGAGAUGUUCCGUCGCGUGAGCGAGCAGUUCACCGCCAUGUUCAGGAGGAAGGCCUUCUUGCACUGGUACACGGGCGAGGGCAUGGACGAGAUGGAGUUCACCGAGGCCGAGAGCAACAUGAACGACCUGGUGGCCGAGUACCAGCAGUACCAGGACGCGACGGUCGAGGAGGAAGAGGACUAUGAGGAUGAGCAGGAGGAUGAGGAGGCCGCCUAA
rnacentral:rRNA from 1 species